rnacentral:tRNA from 1 species
CGGGCAGCAGCUCAGAGGAUAGAGCCUUCGCCUGAUAUGCGAAAAGACUCGGGUUUGACUCUCGGCAGCUUCG